ACUGCCCAGGCGCCGGGUGAGUGGACAGGCCCCGGGCCGGGGAGGGGCAGGGGGCGCGGCUCGUCUCCCUCCCCUCGCCUCGCCCAAAGGGCCCAGUCUCCCGAUCGCCCAGGCUGGUGAGCGGGAGCUGCCACUGCAGACGGGCAGCAUCGGAGGGUCAUUGGGCAGAGCCGGCAGGCCUGGGCCUCAUCGACCAAGGAAACCAAACUUGCUCGCUCCAGCCGCCGUUCAAGGCCCUGGACGUCCUGCGCACAGGUGGGCGCGCACACAGGCGCAGCCCCGCAGCGCUCUCCCCUGGGGCCGGGGACCAGCAGUGUGGGUGCCGGCCGGGGGAGCUCCAGGGCUGGCGUGGGCCCGGAGCCCUUCCAAGUUGCCAGGCGUCCAACCCCACCCCCACCCCCUGCCCCACGGAGGAAGGGCCGGCAGUCCAACUCCUUCAACCUCAACAUGAUCCCCAGCCACUGCUCCCACGGUAGAAGACGGCUCGUUACAGAGACGUGAGCCCCCAGCGGGCUCCGGGGGCGCCCCAGCUCGGGGAGGAGGUGGGCUUCUGGUGACCCAGCAUAGACCUGGCCCCCUCAGCCUAGUGUGAGCUGCCAACAGGCCCUGGACCACCCAGGGAAGGCCGCAGUCCACUAGGGAAUCAGUGUCUGUCUCUCAAUCAAACAAACCAUUGCAAAGAUACGGGAGUCUUUCUGUUGAGGCCAGAGAAGCUCACAGCCUGACAAACAGUCCUAGGAGACAUCCCCGCUCACGGCCAGGGCAGCCGGCGCCAGGUCUCAGCUGGCAGGUCCCCGGCCCGGCAGUGUGGGCUGUGCCCAGGCCUCACAGCAGCAGGUGGCCCGGCGGGGCCCGCAGGGAGAUCCGGGGUGGCGUCCCCCCGUGUGCAGUCCAGGCUCCCCUGUUAACAGCCUGUUCACAUUUUUUAGAAAGUGGCAGCUAUGGCCCUUUCCUUUUCAGUCCUGAGCAACAGUCCUAAGGCUGUUUGUUAGGUGAGGCAGAGGGAGGUGGGCCCCCUGGAGGAGGAGGGACCCUGGCCUGGGGCGUCAGGCAAGGACGCUUCUGUGCAGAGGACAGCCUGCUGGGGGUGAGGGGAGAGGCGGCGGCCGUGGGGAGACAGGUAUACAUGGGGAGGGCAGCGGGGGAGUGAUGUUGGGAGGUGGGAGCCCAGAGGAGGGAGGUGGCCCGGGACUGUUGGGAACCGGAGUCGAGGUGUCGGGGGUAACAGUCGAUACGGAGAGGGGACCCAGGAUCCUGGGGGCUGGCUCUGCCCGCCUACGGCCAGAGCAGCUGUGGCCAAGCGCAGCGAGCACCCAGUGCCCAGACCCUCCCCGCCGAGAGCAGCCAGGCUCCUGGGAGAAAGGCCGACUCCUGCCUGCGACACAAGGUACCAGAUGGGCUGGGAACGUCAGUGCAGGAAGCAAGAACGUGCCAAAGGGAUGGGGCUGUGUGUGGCACCGCGGCCAGCUCCACGCUCUGCCCCCCAGCUGCGAGCGGGAGGAGGACCCGAGUCCACACUGGCGCCAGGAAGGGUCUCUGCGUCGUGGUCACGGUGCACAUCCUGGGCGCGGGACAGACGGGGAUCACGGCCCAGAGGAUGGCGUCAUAUGUGCUGAGUCCCUGAGGGGCCGGGGUGUCAGGGCAGGAAAAGGCCACGGAAGGACAAGGGACGUUCCACACACACGGGACCAGAGACCCGGUGGCCGAACAGCCCACGGGCCUGGACUGGGCCUCUGCUGAGGAGUGUGUGACAGGGACGUGGGCAGCCAGGGGGGCCAGGCCCGGGGAUCCCUGACAGCUGGGGCCCGGCCGGCAGCUCAAACGGCGCCGGAGAAGCGUGUCCCCUGCAGCCUGACUGCCGUGUACACUUUGAGGUUCUUUCCCGGACACAAGUGCGCACGGAAUCCGUGGCUCACCACUCACGGUGCAGCUGAGGUGCACGCUCGUCGUGCUGAGAACCCUCUUUCGGGAAGAAGCGGCUGUUACAGUGUUAGCGUGUAGAUUAAGUCCCACGAUCAAGGACUGAAGAGAGAAGGGCAUACCUGUCGCUCAGCCAGAGAAAUCCCCACCGUCUCAAAGAACUGCUCCACGUAGGACACGACGGCACCGAACACAGCAGGGCUCCUGGGACCACCGGCCGCCUGCAACAAGUCACCCAGAGAAGGCUCUUGAAAGGCAAGAGCACCGACCCCGGGCAGGAGUUACCUCGGCAGCCGCCUUCAGCUGUCUGUUCCCGUGGUGAGCCAGGUCCAUGACGGCGUCCACCGCCCCCGGCGUGUUGAAGUCGUCCGCCAGCGCCGCCUGCACGGCCCCCUUGGUGUGGCCCAGCCUUUGGGGAGGUGAGCAGACGGGGCCGCUCCAGGGACCCGGCUGGAUGGCAGGAGCUGCAGCGCUGGCUGGGCCCCCAGGACGGACGCCCCCCGGGGGCUCCACCCUCAGCUCCCGCCCCUGGGGCAGCCCUUCCAGCUCCUUCCCUCUGCUGUCAGACCCCCUCAGGAGCCGGCUGCCAUGACGCUCGAGCCCCUCAGCCCCUGGCAAGGAAACUGAGGUCACCGUCACCUCCUCCUCGCCUGCCCCCUUACCCGUCCCCAGCAGCACCAUCCUGUCCCCUUUGAGCCACCCCUCACUCACAUGCUGUCCUGCAUGCCUGCCGGUCAGUCACCGGCCCCUCCGAGGCUCUGCCACCGUAUUGAUUCCCUGCUGCCCCUCGUCCCAGACCUUCCCCACCUCCUCCGGGUGCCCUGCUCCCCAGGCACAGGAAAGGGUUGGGCAGAGCCGCCGAGCCUGGGCCCGAGUGACCACAGGGAGAGACAGACCUUUGCUGCCUGGGCUUCUGCAACCCGGCGCUGUCAGCCGGCAUAACCUGACCUCUCCUGACUGAGGCGCAGACUCUCCCCUGCACGCCUGCCGGUGAGCGGCACUGCCGGCCCUUCCCUGGCACCCGCCGUCGGGAGGGUGGCCCAGCCCCACAAGGCCCAGCUGCCCGGCCCCAGGGCUUGGGCUUCAUCCUGGGCGCCACUGCUGUGACCAACAGGCAGCUCCUGCCUCUCUCCUGCAGAUGCCCUCUUCCCGGCCGGCCCCGAAGGAGCCCCGGGCCCUCUACUCCUCCAGGGGCUCCCUGGGUGGCAGGGCACACAGACCCCGCCCACCAUCAGCCUCCGGGGACCCCCGAUGACCCUGCCCCCCUCAUCUCCCCCUGGUAUCCCCCGAGGCUCUGUCUUCCCACUUUCUCACCGUCUCUGAAGCCAAUCUCAAACCUUCCUCGCCUUUUUUUGGACGAGUGAAACACAGAUGACCACGUCAAGCCAUUUACCAAGCAACAGAACUGGAAACACCGUCUCCAUGUCCGGGGUGGGCUCCGUCCUCCCGCCCGCGCCACCACUCAGUUCACUUCCCGGGGCCCCUUGCUGUGCUCCCACCUCUGCAGGCACGACCGGCCUGUGGUCACGACCCCCAGGGGGCAGGGGGCACACGCUGGGCUUCCGGACGCGCCCGUCAACCCCUGUCCCGCGACCCAGGUCCCCCCUCCUUCCUUCAACAGCUCGCUCGUCCGCCCACCUGCCCCACUUCCCGUCGACCACGCCAUCCACGAGGUUCCUGACACUCCCACGCGACCGUGGGCCGUCCAGGCCUCCCUGAAGGCAGGGUGCCUGCCCCUCCCCUGGCGGGCCCGGGGCUCCCACCAGCCCCACCCCCGUGUCCACAGCGCUGCCUCGGGUGGUCCUGAGCAGCACCCACCUCUCCCACAGCACGUCCUCCUGGACGGGGCCGCCCGCCAGCUGCCCCCUCAUGUAGGCCCGAGCGUCCUCCACAAAGGCGGCCACGGCACGGAGCAGACGCCUGGCCUCGAGCAUGGCGCCGUCGCUGUAGUCCAUGGCUGCGGGGAGGGAGCCCGGUCACCUGGGAGCCGCGAGCGCCUGCAGACCGCCAGGCUCUGUCCUGACCCCGGGCAGGAAACGUGGACACCCCUCCCCACGUGAGUGGCCGAGGGCUCAUUCCUGCUGACAGGUGUACAAACAGACAGAUGGCUCUGGAAAGCAGGGGCCCUGCCGGGCACCUGAAGCACCUCUGGGGAGGCCAGCUGACCGGUGCCACGAGGACUCUGGCCCUGUGUUCCCGGAGGGGCAGGGAAACUCGGCCAUCACCCCGCCCACGAGUGUGCGGGGACAGAUUAGGGACACUCGCCGCACCCGGGCGGCCCCAGGUCUCUGGACAGGGGUCCGGCCAGCGGGGAGUGCCGGGGUCCCCAGACUCGCCUUCAGGGCUGGAAGGGGACACGCCCUCUGGCCCAGGGGAGGGGCAGUGCCAUGCUGACGGCUCCUGGCUCGGGCCUUGUGCCAGGACGGCUCAUGAAGCCAGGGGGCAGGUGCCGCGGGCUCAGGCUCUCCGGGCCCCGUGGAGCGCUGGGCACCGGAGUCCCACUGCAAAGCCGCGGCCUUGGGACAGGCUCCGGGGUCCCCUGGCUGAGCGCUGGGACCGUGCUCCCUGGAGCAUCCUCGGGCUUCCGUUCAGAACCCAACCUCAGGGCACGAGGGCAACACCCCAACAGGACGGGGCGCAUCCCACCCGGAUUUCGGGGUUCCCAGAGGCCCUCAGAGGCUCCCCGGGGCCACACGUGAGGAGCACCCAGGCCUCCCUGCCAGCUCACCUGACCUGUAGCUGCUCCGCAGGCAGAAGAGGCGGAAGACGUCUGGGGAGGCCGUGCUGAGGAAGUCCUGCAGGGGCCGGGAGAGACAGGAGCCACUAACCCCCAGGCACACGCAGCGCUCCUCCAACCACCAGUGUAGACACCUGGACCGCCCCCCGAGCAGUCGCGGGGUGUUCGCCCCACGAGCCUGCGGCCGCGUCACCUCCACACAGCCUGUGCUGUCACUCAUCUGACGUGAGCUGCGGGGCUCAGACCCACGGCUGGAUUCUGUUAAGAGGGUUCACUCAAGCGAGGGAGGGCAUGGAUUCCUGUAUCUCGAUAUAAUCAACACCUGUCAGACUCCUACAGAUUUCAUUCUGUGUGUUUAAAAAUGUUACACUCUAAGGAAGCGGCCACAGAUUUCGCCAGGCCAACAACAGGAUCGACAGGGGAAAGGUGAAGAGCCCUGUCCAAGCCGACUUGCAUCAGUAAGACACCGGGUAUUUCAGCGUCUGUGUCCGUCCCUUGGUGCUCCUUUCCAGGGUGUGAAAAAGGAGUAUUUCUUCGUCCCCUUAAUUCCCCAAACUAGCCAACUAACUUGAGACCCCGUCCGGUGGACAGCACACAGUGUGCGUGUUAAUUCUCGCAUUUGCGCCGUCACGUGCCCUCGCGUUCUCACCUGUCACUUCCCCUUUAAAUCUGCCAAAGCAGCAGCACGGAGACCGAGCCCCUGCACUGUGAUGUUACUACACCACGGACAGCACAGGCAGAUAAAUACGUAGCGCUGUCGCAUACAGAGCAUCACUUACAGAAUGCUAAGAUGCGGAUGUGUCGUAACUGCAGUGUGUCUAUAACGGUGACAAAAAGACAAGACUUAGUGAACCAAACGCCAAACACCCAAGGCCCGGGCUGCCCUGCAGCCUCGCAUCCUGUGCCUUCUCUGCAAGUCCUUCUGUGUCCCGUCGGCCGUCACUCCAGCCACUCUGACAGCGCUUCCCUGACCUGCCAGGGUCUCGUGAUAACCAGCUGUGCUCGGCGGGACCCCAGUAAACACGCAGCUCAGCUGGCAUGGGGUUACACCGGGGACAGAGAGUGAACGCCGGGUACCCGGAGGGCCUUUAGCCACCCUCUGACUUUUCCCUCUCCUUUUUGAAUUAUUUCUUUAGGUUUCCUUCCCCACCAAAGCAUGGACUCAACUGCUUCAUAACUUGUUACAAGUCCUCUCCUGUCUCUGACAGUGCAGCAGGAGGCCUGUUCCCAGUGGACACGCUUGCCUUAGGUGAGGACUUGUUUUUGUAAGUUGUUGUGUGUUUAGAUUUUUAUAAAUCACUGCCAGACGCUUGGUAUGUACGGCUGUGGAGCUGUGUGGGCAGGAGCAAAGCUGUGCAUCUCCACGGCCCCGGGGCCCUGACCGCUGACAGACACGACACGCCGCCCCCAGCCCCACGCACUUCUCUCUGCAAGUCGGUGCCUCUCCUGCACUCCUGACUUUCUGCUCAUAAUCGUGCAUUUAGUGACAGAAUUUAAAAACUAACAUUAUGGAUAUUUUAUGUCUGUCUAGGUCUUCGGUUUUUCCGAAAGAGAUCUCUUUUUCAUUUUAGCACUUUGUUUUCGGGGUAGCCAUGUUCUCUAUUUCAUCCAAAAAGGAUUUUAGGUGGUUUUAUUUUAAAGGGUUUUUCCUGGACUUCCCUGGUGGUCCAGUGGUUAAGACUCCGCACUUCCACGGCCGGGGGCACGGGUUCAAUCCCUGGUCGGGGAAUUAAGAUCCUGCACACCACUUGGGCAUGGCCCACCCCACAAGGAAUGGGGGUAGCUUCCUGCCACUCAGAAUGUGGACUCAUUCAGAUAAACCUCAAUGUGUGUUCAGAAAUCUAAGUUAAUAGUUCUCCAAACGCCAGCAACACUAAAGGGUAUUUAUUUUCACCACUGUGGGGUGCCCCUAUGGAGUCAGAGAGUUCAACAGAAAUCUGGAAUCUGACCUUUCUACGGCAUUCUGUGUCUGUGGACCAUUUCCUGAUAAUGACACAGAAAGAAAGUAGGACUACAUCAAACUAAAAAGCUUCUGCACAGCAAAGGAAGCAGUCAACAAAAUGAAAAGGCAGCCAACAGGAUGGGAGAGAACAUUUGCAGACCAUCUAUCUGGUAAGGGAUAAAUACCCAAAAUGUAUAAAGAACUCACACAACUCAACAGAAAAAAAAAAAAAGAUUCAAAAAUGGGCAAAAGACUUGAAUAAACGUUUUUCCAAAGAAGACCUACAAAAUGGCCACAGGUAGGUGCCUGAAAAGAUGCUCAACAUCACUAAUCAUCAGGGAAAUGCAAAUCAAAACCACAAUGAGACGCCACACCUGUCAGAAUGGCUGCCAUUAAAGGAAAUAAGUGUUGAUGAGAAUAUUGAGAAAAGGGAACCCUUGUGCGCGGUUGGUGGGAACGUACACUGGUACAACCACCGUGGAAAACAGUAUGAAGGUUCCUCAAAAAAUCAAAAAUAGAUUUACCAUACAGUCCAGCCAUUCCACUUCUAGGUACACAUCUGAAGGAAACAAAAUCACUAUCUCGUAGAUAUAUCUGCACUCCUAUGUUCAAUGCAGCAUUACUGACAAUAGUCAAGAUACGGAAACAACCUAAGUGUCCACAGAUAGAUGAAUGGAUAAAGAAGAUGUGACACACGCUGACACACACACAUACACGUGCAUAUACACACUACGGACUAUUAAUCAUCAAAAGAAGGAAAUCCUGCCGUUUGUGACAACAUGGAUGAACCUAGAGGACCCUGGGCUCAGUGAAAGAAAGCCGAGAAAGACAAAUACUGUAUGAUCUCACCCACGUGUGGAAUCUAAAAGAAAAACUCACAGAAACUGCAGGGAAUUAAUUCCCUGGCGGUCCAGUGGUUAGGACUCUGCGCUCACUGCCGGGGCCCUGGGUUUGAUCCCUGGUCAGGGAACUAAGAUCCUGCAAGCCAUGCGGUGUGGGAAAGAAAGAGAAAGAGAGGAAGGGCGGGAUGGAGGGAGGGAAGGAUGAAGGGAGGGAGGAAGGAAGGAAGAAAGAAAAAGAAAUGGAGAGCAGACCAGUAGUUGCCAGGGGCUGGAAUGUGAGCCUGGGGAAGACUCUGGUCUCUGUAAAGUCCAACAGCAGGGAAGUAACUCAGUCCUGUAGUAGCGCCCCCCAAGGGCCACUCACUAAGUGGUCAGAAAAGUAAUGCAGACUUUGUAAUAUCUAUGAAAAUUUUAAAUGCAUGUACCCAAGCAGAUGUAGUUUAAUACGGCCAUGAAAAAUAUAAUUUAAAUGGCCAUCAAUAGGGGAUGGUUUAAACUAAUUAAGGUGCACCCUUACAACAGAUGAUUAUUCAAAUGAGUUAAGUCCAUAUGGAAGAAAGCUAAUGCAAAAGACUCAGUAGUUUAAGAGACACCUGGGACAACACCGAGCGCACUAAUGUUCGCAUUGUAGCGGCCCCAGGAGAGAGAGAGAGAGAGCAGCAGAGAGCUUAUAUUUCCAGCUAAGCUGUAAAUCUGCCUAGCCUGCGAAAGGGAAAUAGACAUCCAAGCCCAGGAAGCACAGAGAGGCCCAAACGAGAUGAACCCAAAGAGAUCCACAGCAAGACACACUGUAAAUAAAAUGGGAAAAUUAAAAACAAAGAGAAAAUCUUAAAAGCAGCAAGGGAAAAGCAACUAGUUCCUCACAGGGGAACUCUCGCAAGACUGUCAGCUGACUUUUCUGCACGCCAGAAAGGAGCAACAUGAUAUACUCGAAGUGAUGAAAAAACCUACAACCAAGAACACUCUGCCCAGCAAGCUAUCAUUCAGAUCUGAAGGAGAGAGAAAGAAUUUUACAGACAAGCAACAGAACCCUUAAACCAGCAUUACACGACACGUUAAAGGGACUUCUCUAAGAGGAAAAGAAAAGUCCACGACUAGAAAUAUGAAAAUUCUGAAAGGAAAAAUCUCACUGGUAAAGGCAAACAUUCAGUAAAGAUAGAGUAACCACUUAUAAAGCUAGUAGGAAGGUUAAAAGACAAAAAUACUAUAAAUCAUCUAUAUCCACAAUAAGUAGUUAAGUGAUGCACAAAACAAAAAGAUGUAAAACAUGAUGUAAAAAGCAUUAAACAUGGGAGGUGGGUAAAAAUGCAAGCUUGUUCGCAUGUGCUCAAACUGAGAUCAUCCCCUAAAAUAACCUCAUGCACGUGGGAUGCAGCAAAAGCAGUCCUAAAAGGGAAGUAUUUAGUAAUAUAAGAAAAACCUCAGAAAAACUUCAGAAAAAUCUCAAAUAAACCUAACUUCACACCUUAAGGCACUAGAAGAAGAACAAACAAAACCCAAAGUUAAUAGAAGGAAAGAAAUCAUAAAGGUAGGAGCAGAAAUAAAUGAAAUAAAGACUGAAAAAAAAUACGAAAGAUCAGUGAAACUGAGAACUAGUUCUUUGAAAAGAUAAAAUCAAUAAACAUUUAGCUAGACUCAUCAAAAAAAAAAAA